GACUCCUACGGGAGGGCAAGCAGUGGGAAUGAUUGCACGAAAUGGGGGAAACCUGAUGCAGCCAUGCCGCGUGUGUGAAGAAGGCCUUCGGGUUGUAAAGCACUUUCAGUAGGGAGGAAGGUAGUGUAGUUAACACCUGCAUUAUUUGACGUUACCUACAGAAGAAGCACCGGCUAACUCCGUGCCAGCAGCCGCGGUAAUACGGAGGGUGCGAGCGUUAAUCGGAAUUACUGGGCGUAAAGCGCAUGCAGGUGGUUUGUUAAGUCAGAUGUGAAAGCCCGGGGCUCAACCUCGGAAUUGCAUUUGAAACUGGC
rnacentral:rRNA from 1 species